rnacentral:rRNA from 1 species
UUCUUAGUACGAAAGGACCAGAAGGAGAGUGCCAAUACUACCUAUGAAGCAAGCACUAUCUAAUAAAAUUAAAAAC